UGGUGACUUUUACGGACUAAGUUAUAACGAAAUAAAACAAAAGCCCAUUAAUAGGCCCAUUACAAAACCCUAAAAUCAGUUUUCCCCAAAUAAGUUUCCUUCGAGAGAGAGAGGAAUAGAUCGGCGAUUUUUCCGAUGAUGAUGCUGAGAUCUGCAGUGAGAUCAUUUUGUUCCUCCGGACGUGAUUUUGAGCCUGAUGCAGAAUCCUUCUUCCGCAAAAUUUUCGCUGCAUAUCG